CUACCUUGGGUCUAGGUAUUAAAUAGGUCUCUCCCUUAUUUCUAGAGAAACUGAUUUUAGUUGCUAUGAAAACAGACAAAAGCUCUGUCUACGUACUUUGAUGUCUGGGCACUUCCCUGGCUAGUAGAUAUUUCCAAGUCUACCUGUGGUAGUUCAUAAAAUAAGUUCUCGACAUUGUAGUGCUGGAUCUUGUUAUCCUCCCCAACCAGAACCAAACAAUUCCAGCAGCUGUCUCAGAUCUCUCCUCAUUUUAUCAGUGCUAAAGUACAGUCAGAGCCAAAUUCACAACCCCAUCCAGCUCCAUAGCAAUUACAGUUCUUUCUACAUCUAGUAAAAGAGCCGUAUUGCAUGGCCUACCCCAUACCUCAGUGAAACUACAGAAUGUAGCUCAAAGGUGCAUUUUGCUGAUGGUCACAACAGAGGCUGGGCCUCUGACUCUUCUCUGGUAGUUCUCUAGGAGGACAAACAUGUGAAUUGUCAACAGAUAAACAGCAGUCACCAAGAAGUCCUGGACAAGGCAGUCAAUCAAAAAUGUUUCUGUGAUAUCAGCAGUCUCAUAAGUAUUUUAUCCUGUCUAUUUCUAAUCUUUUCUUUAGGGCAAAGUAGUUGCAUUUGUUACUUUCCUUUCUUGCAACCAGAAGACCUGGGGGUGAAAAUGGGUGGUGG
rnacentral:lncRNA from 1 species